rnacentral:lncRNA from 1 species
GCUACAAAAAUAAAGUAAUAGUCUUUCAAAUCUAAUCUAAAUUCUGACUGUAAUCGAAGAGGAUAAGUAUCAAUGGCUUCUGCAGUAAUUUUUACUCUAUUGUCGAUCCGAAAGAUUAUGUCAUCUUUCCUCAACCUCUUACUUUCUAUUAGAUCCUGUAUUAAAAUACAUAUAUGAACACUCAAACCAAAGUUCAAUAUCCAA